rnacentral:tRNA from 1 species
GCCCGGAUAGCUCAGUCGGUAGAGCAGGGGAUUGAAAAUCCCCGUGUCCUUG